GGGGACACUCUGCCUGUCUGCCAAGUUACAAGAAGAGAAAAUCCGGCACAUUGAAGCAUAUCCAACAUUGUGUACCUGUCGAAGUACCCCCUCCCCACAAUUCUACAUAUUAUUUUAGAAUUGCUGUAAAGGCCUAUAAUCUCAACAAUGUCGACAAAGAUGUCUGUGAUUUUGAGCCUUAUUUGUGUCUUCGUGGUAGUUACGAGUGUGUCGGGGCUUAAAAGGCCUACUCCGGAACAGGCAGUCGAUUGCCAUUGCAAUUGUGAUGACUUCCACUUAGACUGCACUGGAACAUGGUUCAAACUCUUCAGAUGUCCUAAGAGUUUACAACUGGAUGUUGAAUAUUACUGCAAUUGUAUGAAU